rnacentral:rRNA from 1 species
GACGAACGCUGGCGGCGUGCUUAACACAUGCAAGUCGAGCGAUGAAGCUCCUUCGGGAGCGGAUUAGCGGCGGACGGGUGAGUAACACGUGGGUAACCUGCCUCAUAGAGGGGAAUAGCCUUUCGAAAGGAAGAUUAAUACCGCAUAAGAUUGUAGUAUCGCAUGAUGCAGCAAUUAAAGGAGUAAUCCGCUAUGAGAUGGACCCGCGUCGCAUUAGCUAGUUGGUGAGGUAACGGCUCACCAAGGCGACGAUGCGUAGCCGACCUGAGAGGGUGAUCGGCCACAUUGGGACUGAGACACGGCCCAGACUCCUACGGGAGGCAGCAGUGGGGAAUAUUGCACAAUGGGGGAAACCCUGAUGCAGCAACGCCGCGUGAGUGAUGACGGUCUUCGGAUUGUAAAGCUCUGUCUUCAGGGACGAUAAUGACGGUACCUGAGGAGGAAGCCACGGCUAACUACGUGCCAGCCGCCGCAGUAACAC